rnacentral:rRNA from 1 species
AUGGGCGAAGCCCUGACGCAGCACGCCGCGUGGAGGACGAAGGCUUUCUGAGUUGUAAACUCCUUUCAGCAGGGACGAUUGUGACGGUACCUGCAGAAGAAGCACCGGCCAACUACGUGCCAGCAGCCGCGGUGAUAUGUAGGGUGCAAGCGUUGUCCGGAUUUAUUGGGCGUAAAGAGCUCGUAGGCGGUUCGAUAAGUCGGGUGUGAAAUCUCCAGGCUCAACCUGGAGCUGCCACUCGAUACUGUCGUGACUAGAGUCCGGUAGGGGACCAUGGAAUUCCUGGUGUAGCGGUGAAAUGCGCAGAUAUCAGGAGGAACACCAGUAGCGAAGGCGGUGGUCUGGGCCGGAACUGACGCUGAGGAGCGAAAGCGUGGGGAGCGAACAGGAUUAGAUACCCUGGUAGUCCACGCCGUAAACGUUGGGCACUAGGUGUGGGGCCUAUUCAACGGGUUCCGUGCCGUAGCUAACGCAUUAAGUGCCCCGCCUGGG